rnacentral:misc_RNA from 1 species
AACGCACAUUGCGCCCCUUGGUAUUCCGGGGGGCAUGCCUGUUCGAGCGUCAUUAUCACCCUCAAGCUCAGCUUGGUCUUGGGGCCCGCCUGUCACAGGGCGGCCCUUAAAAGCAGUGGCGGUGCCAUCUGGCUCUACGCGUAGUAAUACUCCUCGCGACAGAGUUCCGGUGGCCUCCUGCCAGAACCCCAAAUUUUUUAUGAUUGACCUCGGAUCAGGUAGGGAUACCCGCUGAACUUAA